rnacentral:rRNA from 1 species
AUGUGGAGGAAUACCGAUGGCGAAGGCAGCCCCCUGGGAUAACACUGACGCUCAUGCACGAAAGCGUGGGGAGCAAACAGGAUUAGAUACCCUGGUAGUCCACGCCCUACACGAUGUCCACUACGUUGUUGGGGAUUCAUUUCCUUACUAACGUAGCUAACGCGUGAAGUUGACCGCCUGGGGAGUACGGUCGCAAGAUUAAAACUCAAAGGAAUUGACGGGGACCCGCACAAGCGGUGGAUGAUGCGGAUUAAUUCGAUGCAACGCGAAAAACCUUACCUACCCUUGACAUGCCACUAACGAAGCAGAGAUGCAUUAGGUGCUCGAAAGAGAAAGUGGACACAGGUGCUGCAGGGCUGUCGUCAGCUCGUGUCGUGAGAUGUUGGGUGAAGUCCCGCAACGAGCGCAACCCUUGUCUCUAGUUGCUACGAAAGGGCACUCUAGAGAGACUGCCGGUGACAAACCGGAGGAAGGUGGGGAUGACGUCAAGUCCUCAUGGCCCGUAUGGGUAGGGCUUCACACGUCAUACAAUGGUGCAUACAGAGUGGUUGCCAAGCCGCGAGGUGGAGCUAAUCCCAGAAAAUGCAUCGUAGUCCGGAUCGUAGUCUGCAACUCGACUACGUGAAGCUGGAAUCGCUAGUAAUCGCGGAUCAGCAUGCCUCGGUGUAUACGUUCCCGGGUCUUGUACACACCGCCCGUCACACCAUGGGAGUGGGCUUUA